CGUGUUCUGGUGUGGUGAGGUCGGUGAGCCCCACCAUGCCCCGGUAUUAUGAGGACAAGCCAGAGGGCGGCGCGUGCUCGGGCGUGAAGGAGGAUCUGGGUGCAUGUCUGCUGCAGUCGGCCUGUGUGCUCCAGGAAGGAAAAUCCCCACGGCAGUGUCUGAAGGAAGGCUAUUGCAGAGCUCUGCAGUAUUCCUUUUCUGAGUGUAAAAGAUCAAUGUUGGAUGCCAGAUCAAGAUUCAGAGGAAGAAAAGGAUAUUGAUAACAUUAUGCUGAAUGCAAGAUGAAAAUUACCCAGGAUUUUCUCUGGUCCUCAGCAGAAAAGAACCAAAAUGGGAAGCACAGUAGCUCCUGCAUCUGUUCGACGCCUGGGCCAGGUGUUCCUCCCAAGAACACCAGAGAAAAUGGAUCAUUGCUCUUUCUGAAUGAUUCUGCUGGUUGACGUCAUUUAUAGAAGAUCCAUGGGACUAAACAACUAUGAGCUAAGAACUUAAUAUGUUUUGGGAAUUGCUUAAUGGAGAGAUUAUGUCCAAGGAUGACUCUUCAAUC